UACUGGUUCUGUUUCUUCAAGCUCUGAUGAUCCUUCAUCACAGAGUAGCAGUGGUCAUGUGGGAGUUCAAACAAGUAGCCCACAUGAUGCUCCGGACCAAGUGUUCAACGGGAAAAAGCCAGUCAGAUUUCACCCUGUGAAGCCCCCCAGCUCUCUUCAAGGCUCGAGCGAACACAACAGCUAUCUCAGAGACCAGACAGUCAGUGUUAGUCGCCCAUUCAUGCUAAAUACCCAUACAAAAGAUGAGAAGCAGAAUCUAGUCUCUUCCACACAGGGAGCAAAACAAAUGGCUCACAAUACAUUUAUUCCUGUUUCUAGUGGCUCAGGUUCAACCCAGAGUGGGAUCCCAUCUCAGGUCGGUGAUGCAAUUUUCAACACUAUAACUAACUCGGCUCCAACCUCAGCAUCAGACAGAGCCUUUUCAAGAUUAGCUGGCAAUGAAAUCAUGUCCAGGAAGUUUGGAAUCAAGAAUAUAAUCUCUGAUAUACGUGGCACCAGAAACCCCCUGGGCUCAUUUCUUACCCCACAAAGACGAGGCAUUUUUCUAAAUGGCGGUUAUGUGAGUAAACCGCUGUCUGCAUCCAAGGUUUCUGCUUCUACUUUAAGUGGUGUCUUCUGGAGGAAUAGUGGCAACACAAAGAGGCUUCCUCCUCAAACAGGCCCCAACAUGUCACCUCCACCUGCAUACAUUGUGCAGUCCAGAAACGGCUUCAUGAGGAGCAAAGUAUCUCUAUCAAAUACCCAUUAUGCACCCUAUCAGCUGGAUGGAUACAAGAACACUGUAUCCCGCAAUGUAAAAGGAUUUUAUGAACAGUAAAGGAGGAUCAGAAAGUGAAAGAGUAAACGGUGAAAUCGCUGACAGCAAGUCCUUUUGUAAAUAUGGGAUCUAGUGCCAUCUUCAACUGAAGUCUCUGCAGUUACACAAUUCCACUCCAACUACUAUUAAAGUCGUUUACCCCCUUGUCUUAUUUGUGUCACAUGGGUUAAGCUAAUCGACAAUUUCAGUGUUAUUAGGCUGACGAUCUUUAUUUUCAGUUGCAAAUGACUAUUUGAGCAGCAAAUGCUCCUGCAUCCCACUUUGAUAUCUCUCAGAUCUCUAUGUAGGGUGAUAGUUAAGAAAAAUGGUCUCAUCUCAUUUAGCUAAAACUCCCUUAGUGCACUUUGUGCUUUUAGGAGGCACUUUAGUCAAACAAGACGUGAAAAAGGCUACCUGAAUGGUGAUGGAGCUUAUGUCUAAUGGUCCCGGUCUUUCUUUUCCC